rnacentral:sRNA from 1 species
UACCAAAAUUGAUUUUGCUCGUGAGUCA